rnacentral:tRNA from 1 species
GGUCCCGUAGUGUAGCGGUUAACACGCCUGCCUGUCACGCAGGAGAUCGCGGGUUCGAUUCCCGUCGGGACCGUAU